rnacentral:rRNA from 1 species
UAGAGUUUGAUCAUGGCUCAGGAUGAACGCUAGCGGCAGGCUUAACACAUGCAAGUCGAGGGGUAGGGCAGCAAUGCUUGAGACCGGCGCACGGGUGCGUAACGCGUAUGCAAUCUACCUUUUGCAGAGGGAUAGCCCAGAGAAAUUUGGAUUAAUACCUCAUAGUAUAAUGAAUUCGCAUGGAUUUAUUAUUAAAGUAACAACGGCAAAAGAUGAGCAUGCGUCCCAUUAGCUAGAUGGUAAGGUAACGGCUUACCAUGGCGACGAUGGGUAGGGGUCCUGAGAGGGAGAUCCCCCACACUGGUACUGAGACACGGACCAGACUCCUACGGGAGGCAGCAGUGAGGAAUAUUGGACAAUGGGCGCAAGCCUGAUCCAGCCAUGCCGCGUGCAGGAUGACGGUCCUAUGGAUUGUAAACUGCUUUUGUACAGGAAGAAACCCUCGGACGUGUCCGAGAUUGACGGUACUGUAAGAAUAAGGAUCGGCUAACUCCGUGCCAGCAGCCGCGGUAAUACGGAGGAUCCAAGCGUUAUCCGGAAUCAUUGGGUUUAAAGGGUCCGUAGGCGGUUUAGUAAGUCAGUGGUGAAAGCCCAUCGCUCAACGGUGGAACGGCCAUUGAUACUGCUAGACUUGAAUUAUAAGGAAGUAACUAGAAUAUGUAGUGUAGCGGUGAAAUGCUUAGAUAUUACAUGGAAUACCAAUUGCGAAGGCAGGUUACUACUUAUGGAUUGACGCUGAUGGACGAAAGCGUGGGUAGCGAACAGGAUUAGAUACCCUGGUAGUCCACGCCGUAAACGAUGGAUACUAG